rnacentral:tRNA from 1 species
GGUUCCUUAGCCAAGUGGUAAGGCAACAGACUGCAACUCUGUCAUCGUCGGUUCGAAUCCGAUAGGAACCUCCA